CCUACGGGGCGCUGCAGUGGGGAAUAUUGCACAAUGGGCGCAAGCCUGAUGCAGCCAUGCCGCGUGUGUGAAGAAGGCCUUCGGGUUGUAAAGCACUUUCAGCGGGGCGGAAGGCGUUAAGGUUAAUAACCUUGGCGAUUGACGUUACCCGCAGAAGAAGCACCGGCUAACUCCGUGCCAGCAGCCGCGGUAAUACGGAGGGUGCAAGCGUUAAUCGGAAUUACUGGGCGUAAAGCGCACGCAGGCGGUCUGUCAAGUCGGAUGUGAAAUCCCCGGGGUCAACCUGGGAACUGCAUUCGAAACUGGCAGGCUAGAGUCUUGUAGAGGGGGGUAGAAUUCCAGGUGUAGCGGUGAAAUGCGUAGAGAUCUGGAGGAAUACCGGUGGCGAAGGCGGCCCCCUGGACAAAGACUGACGCUCAGGUGCGAAAGCGUGGGGAGCAAACAGGAUUAGAUACCCCGGUAGUC
rnacentral:rRNA from 1 species